UACGGAGGGUGCAAGCGUUAAUCGGAAUUACUGGGCGUAAAGCGUGCGUAGGCGGUUCGUUAAGUCUGUUGUGAAAGCCCCGGGCUCAACCUGGGAAUGGCAAUGGAUACUGGCGAGCUAGAGUGUGUCAGAGGAUGGUGGAAUUCCCGGUGUAGCGGUGAAAUGCGUAGAGAUCGGGAGGAACACCAGAGGCGAAGGCGGCGACCUGGACAGGUACUGACACUCAACUACGAAAGCGUGGGGAGCAAACAGG
rnacentral:rRNA from 1 species